rfam:Triticum urartu cultivar G1812 contig310632, whole genome shotgun sequence.
AAAGUACUCCCUCCGUCCCAAAAUUCUUGUCUUAGAUUUGUCUAGAUACGGAUGGAUCAAGUCACAUUUUAGUAUUAGAUACAUCCAUAUCUAGACAAAUCUAAGACAAGAAUUUUGGGGGAUAGAGGGAGUAGUUG